rnacentral:rRNA from 1 species
GACAGAGGCCUCGAGCGUUAGGCGGAAUCACUGGGCUUAAAGCGUGUGUAGGCGGGCCCGUAAGUGUCUUGUGAAAUCCCACGGCUCAACCGUGGAACUGCUGGGCAUACUGCGGGUCUUGGGCCAACUAGGGGCAGCCGGAACAAGCGGUGGAGCGGUGAAAUGCGUAGAUAUCGCUUGGAACGCCAAUGGUGAAGACGAGCUCGCUGGGGGUGUCCUGGACGCUGAGGCG